AAGACAAAGUUAGAAGACGAACUGCAUCAUCAUGAACUUUGUCAAAAUUGAGGAAGGGUGCAGCCUACAGAACUGUGUUGUAUGCCAUAAUGCAGUAAUUGAGAAAGGAGCUGACAUCAAGGACUGUUUGAUCGGAAACGGUCAACACCUGGAAUCCAAGUCUAAACACAUUAAUGAAGUUAUAAUGGGUACUGAUCAGCUGAUGGAAAUCUGAAACAAAACUCAAGGAUGGUUUUCUGACUGCCUGAACCUGCAUCCCAGCUCUGGAAUCUGUUUCCUGUGAUUACUCCUGUCAUCACUGGUAUCCACCCCAAUGUCAUCAUUCAAUUUACACCUUAAUAAAGAAAUAUUUACAGUGA